GGCUUCAUAGCUCAGUUGGAUAGAGCGUCGCACCGUUAUCGCGAGGUCACGGGUUCAAACCCCGUUGUUGAGGUCU
rnacentral:tRNA from 1 species